rnacentral:rRNA from 1 species
UGCUCAGUAACACGUGGAUAACCUGCCCUAAGGAAGGGGAUAACCUCGGGAAACUGAGGAUAAUACCCUAUAGGAUACCGAUGCUGGAAUGCCCGGUAUCCCAAAGCUCCGGCGCCUUAGGAUGGAUCUGCGGCCGAUUAGGUCGUUGUUGGGGUAACGGCCCAACAAGCCGAUAAUCGGUACGGGUUGUGGGAGCAAGAGCCCGGAGUUGGAUUCUGAGACACGAAUCCAGGCCCUACGGGGCGCAGCAGGCGCGAAAACUUUACAAUGCGGGCAACCGUGAUAAGGGAACCUCGAGUGCCUGUACAUGCAGGCUGUCUGGGUGUCUAAAACACACCCAAAGAAAGGGCCGGGCAAGACCGGUGCCAGCCGCCGCGGUAAUACCGGCGGCUCGAGUGGUGGCCACUUUUAUUGGGCUUAAAGCGUUCGUAGCUGGGUUGUUAAGUCUCUUGGGAAAUCUGGCAGCUUAACUGUCAGGCGUCUAAGAGAUACUGGCAAUCUAGGAACCGGGAGAGGUGAGGGGUACUUCGGGGGUAGGAGUGAAAUCCUGUAAUCCUCGAGGGACCACCUGUGGCGAAGGCGCCUCACCAGAACGGCUUCAACAGUGAGGGACGAAAGCUGGGGGAGCAAACCGGAUUAGAUACCCGGGUAGUCCCAGCCGUAAACGAUGCGCGUUAGGUGUGUCGAUGACCACGAGUCAUCGAGGUGCCGAAAGGGAAACCGUGAAACGCGCCGCCUGGAAGUACGGUCGCAAGGCUGAAACUUAAAGGAAUUGGCC